GUUGACUAAAAAAAGAAACACAUGAGCACGGCCUCUCCUCAAUGUGCACGGUACAGCCGCCGCCGCCACGCGCGGCCGGUCUUCCACUCCGUCUUGCCGCCACCCUGCUUCCCCCUCCCAUCCGCCGGCACAGCUGAGGUUGGGUACGUUGUCGUCCAGCGCCGGCGGCGAGCACGCUCCCCCGACUCCGUGUCCUUGUCCAACGCAAAUCAAUGGAGCUGCCGACCCGGAUUGUUGUCGGCUGCUAUAAGAAGGGAGGGUCCUCGGCUCGAAUAGCCAUCAGGUCAAUUUUGGACGAAGCAUCCAACGUCGACACCGAGUUCAAUGCAGGAAGAAGCGCCGAGUUCGCCGGAGGUAGAAGAAGCGCCGAGUUUGCCGGAGGUAGAAGAACAGCCGUCGAUCCGUCCAAUGUCGCCUGCGUCGGCUACAGCAGAGCAGCAGAGGAAUAGACCCGGCAAGGAAGAGAGCUACACCAAUGUAGUCGGUGGAAUUAACAAGCAAAGUAAAUCCUGAAGCUCCUGGUUGUAACAAGAGCAUUUGUGAUGGAUCGAUUUUGUGUUGGAGGCCGAGGAUUGGGUCUGCACCUCUUACCACAGACAGUUGUCAUCGGUGGCCUGCCAGUGACACUGGUGAAGGAAUGAGUGUCGCUGGAGAUCGUUUGGUGACGUCCGGUGCAUAUCACGUGACAGAGUGG